CACACACGCACCUGCGCACAAAGGCGUUCAGGCAAAAAUUGUGUGAACAAGUCAAGCAAGACGCAGCAAGGCAAACAGGCGGGCGGGGAGGAGGAGGUGGGGUGGUGUGUUUGUAUGUGUGUUGUGAUGUGUGAGCAGACCCAACGAACCAAAUCAGAUCCUCUGCUUGGUGGAGGGUGAAAGUGCACAUCGCAUCGCAUCGCAAGCUGCUGCUGAAUAGGAGCAGGAUUUGCCGCGAGAAUGUCCUGAGGGAUAUAUUCCCCGCAGCUCUGCCCUUUUUCUGGGCUUUCCUGAAAACGGUAUCCUUGAGGGCGGUGAUUAGAAUGCAGUGCUAAUGGAGCUUCCACUGGUAGGCAAAGGUAGGAUUAUUCUCUCGCUUUGACGGCCGAAGCACGACGCACCCAUGUGAAAGGUGGCCGCAAGCAUCGGGCGACAACGGCCUGGCAUAGGGAAGGGCAUGGCGAAAGAGAGCUCGUUGCAUGUGCAGCGGUGUUCGUUGAACCGUUCAUUUUUGUUUCCUCAUUUUAAUAUAACAUUUCGGACAUCUAUGGCGCAAACAUAAUGUGGUCGGGGCUUUUGGAAUGCUUGCAAUGGUAGCUGCAUCUGCUGUUUCUGAUUCGUGCAUGUGAAAAUGCAUGAACUUGAUGAAAUCCAUGCUCGACAGCCCGAAAUGCAGCAAUCACAAGUUACUGAUCAUGUCGCAAAAAGUAGCAAUAAUCUGAGUUUUCAUAAAGUAGCAGAAUUUUGCUCUUGGUAAAACUUUUCCCCGACGGUUCUUUUGGGAGAACUUGUUCCAUUGGGUACUUCAUAUGAAGUAAAGUUUAAAAACAGCGGUACAUCAUCACCCACCACUACAAUCCUCAGAUACAGAUGUUCUCAUUCGCAAGAAUCUAAGUAUUCAAUAUUAUAUUAAUCAA